rnacentral:rRNA from 1 species
CCUACGGGUGGCAGCAGUGAGGAAUAUUGGUCAAUGGGCGGAAGCCUGAACCAGCCAAGUCGCGUGAGGGAAUAAGGUCCUACGGGUCGUAAACCUCUUUUGCCGGGGAGCAAGGGCCGGGACGCGUCCCCGCCCGGAGAGUACCCGGAGAAAAAGCAUCGGCUAACUCCGUGCCAGCAGCCGCGGUAAUACGGAGGAUGCGAGCGUUAUCCGGAAUGACUGGGCGUAAAGGGUGCGUAGGCGGUUUGACAAGGUGGGAGCUAAACUGCGGGGCGCAACCUCGGAACGACUACCAAAACUGGGGAGCUUGAGUGCAGGAGGGGCAAGUGGAAUGUCUAGUGUAGCGGUGGAAUGCGUAGAUAUUAGGAAGAACACCGGUGGCGAAGGCGGGUUGCUGGACUGUAACUGACGCUGAGGCACGAAAGCGUGGGGAGCAAACAGGAUUAGAUACCCGAGUAGUC